AUGGCGUCCAUCUCCGGCGCGGCGGCGCCGCCCUCCUCCUCCUCCGCGUGCCGGCUGCGGCUCCGGAGGCAGCUGCUCAUGCGCCCCUCCCACCUCCGCCUCCGCGCGCCCCAUUCCAUCGCGGACCUCUCCCGCUCCUCCCACUCCCACGCCCCGGCCCCGCCGCUCGCGUCCAGGGCGCCGGCCCAGGGCGGCGGCGCGGUCGAGAAGGACCCGAUCAAGCUCUGGGACCGCUACGUCGAGUGGCUCUACCAGCACAAGCAGCUGGGCCUCUUCGUCGACGUCAGCCGGAUGGGCUUCACCGACGACUUCCUCCAAAGGAUGGAGCCGCUCAUGCAGCGGGCCUUCGUCGCCAUGGGGGAGCUCGAGAAGGGCGCCAUCGCCAACCCCGACGAGGGCCGCAUGGUCGGCCACUACUGGCUCCGCGACCCCGGCCUCGCCCCCAACUCCUUCCUCCGCACCAAGAUCGAGAAGACCGUCGACCACAUCCUCGCCUUCUCCCAGGACAUCGUCUCUGGCAAGAUUAAACCUCCGUCGUCUCAGGUUGGUCGUUUUACUCAAAUACUCUCUAUAGGAAUUGGAGGGUCAUCUUUGGGGCCUCAAUUUGUUUCCGAGGCACUUGCGCCUGAUAACCCCCCAUUGAAGAUACGAUUUAUUGACAACACCGACCCUGCUGGAAUUGAUCAUCAAAUUGCUCAACUAGGGGAGGAACUUAAAUCUACUCUUGUAAUUGUAAUCUCUAAGAGUGGUGGUACACCUGAAACCCGGAAUGGUCUACUAGAAGUACAAAAAGCCUUCAGAGAUGCUGGACUGGAUUUUUCAAAACAGGGUGUUGCAAUCACUCAAGAAAAUUCUCUAUUAGAUAACACUGCCAGAAUAGAGGGAUGGUUAGAUCGAUUUCCUAUGUUUGACUGGGUUGGUGGUAGAACAUCAGAAUUGUCAGCGGUGGGGUUACUUCCAGCUGCAUUACAGGGUAUCGAUGUCAAGGAAAUGCUAGUUGGUGCAGCACUAAUGGAUGAGGAGACCAGGAACACCGUGGUUAAGGAAAAUCCAGCAGCAUUACUUGCGUUAUCUUGGUAUUGGGCUACAGAUGGAAUAGGCAGUAAGGAUAUGGUUGUACUUCCUUACAAGGAUAGUCUGCUACUUUUGAGUAGAUAUCUACAACAACUUGUCAUGGAAUCUCUUGGGAAAGAAUACGACCUUGACGGCAAUCGGGUUAAUCAAGGGCUAACUGUAUAUGGUAACAAAGGAAGCACAGACCAACAUGCCUACAUUCAACAGCUAAGAGAAGGGGUGCACAACUUCUUCGUUACUUUUAUCGAGGUUUUGCGUGACAGGCCUCCCGGUCAUGAUUGGGAGCUUGAACCUGGAGUGACAUGUGGUGACUACUUGUUUGGGAUGUUGCAGGGUACACGUUCUGCUCUUUAUUCUAAUGACCGAGAGUCCAUCUCCGUUACUGUGGAAGAAGUAACUCCCAGAGCUGUUGGAGCACUGGUUGCACUCUAUGAACGUGCAGUUGGAAUUUAUGCUUCUUUAGUAAACAUCAAUGCAUAUCAUCAGCCUGGUGUCGAGGCAGGGAAAAAAGCAGCAGGAGAGGUAUUGGCCCUUCAGAAAAGGGUGCUGACUGUUCUGAAUGAGGCCAGCUGCAAAGACCCUGCUGAACCAUUGACCCUGGAGCAAAUCGCAGAUCGUUGCCAUUGCCCUGAAGAUAUUGAGAUGAUAUACAAAAUAAUUCAGCACAUGGCAGCCAACGAUAGAGCACUUAUAGCGGAAGGUAGCUGCGGUUCUCCUCGAAGCGUCAAGGUUUACCUUGGAGAAUGCAAUGUAGACGACCUAUGA
rnacentral:rRNA from 1 species